GAUGAACGCUGGCGGCGUGCCUAACACAUGCAAGUCGAGCGAGGGUUUGCUCAGUAUUGAGUAUUCUAAGACUAGAAUGUUCAAUUCUGAGCAAAACCAAGCGGCGGACGGGUGAGUAACGCGUGGGUAACCUGCCCUAUACACAUGGAUAACAUACUGAAAAGUUUACUAAUACAUGAUAAUAUAUAUUUGCGGCAUCGCAGAUAUAUCAAAGUGUUAGCGGUAUAGGAUGGACCCGCGUCUGAUUAGCUAGUUGGUGAGAUAACUGCCCACCAAGGCGACGAUCAGUAGCCGACCUGAGAGGGUGAUCGGCCACAUUGGAACUGAGACACGGUCCAAACUCCUACGGGAGGCAGCAGUGGGGAAUAUUGCACAAUGGGCGAAAGCCUGAUGCAGCAACGCCGCGUGAACGAUGAAGGUCUUCGGAU
rnacentral:rRNA from 1 species